rnacentral:rRNA from 1 species
CAUUACUGAGUUCGGGACCAUGUCCCUACUCCAACCCUAUGUUUACAAGUCUUGUUGCUUCGGUGGACCGGUUUUCUCGAAAGCCGCCGGCCUUUGGCUGGAGAGCGUCCGCCAGAAGACCUUUCAAUUCUGUUGAAUUUAAAGUCUGAAGAAAAUAAAAUGAAUCAAAACUUUCAACAACGGAUCUCUUGGUUCCGGCAUCGAUGAAGAACGCAGCGAAAUGCGAUAAGUAGUGUGAAUUGCAGAAUUCCGUGAAUCAUCGAAUCUUUGAACGCACAUUGCGCCCUUUGGUAUUCCGAAGGGCAUGCCUGUUCGAGCGUCAUUAAAAACAUCAAGCUCAGCUUGGCUUUGAGACCGGUGCUCUGGGCACCCAUUUCAAACUCAUCGGCGGUGAUUGCAGCCUUCAAACGUAGCAAAAAGACUCGUUUGUAACGGUUGGAAAUCCCCUGCCGCAACUCUUCAAGUUUUUGACCUCGGAUCAGGUAGGAUUACCCGCUGAACUUAAGCAUAUCAAUAAGCGGAGGAAAAGAAACCAACAGGGAUUGCCUCAGUAACGGCGAGUGAAGCGGCAAAAGCUCAAAUUUGAAAUCUGGCUCACGCCCGAGUUGUAAUUUGAAGAGGAUGUUCUGGAAUUGUUCCCGGUCUAAGUUCCCUGGAACGGGACGUCGCAGAGGGUGAGAAUCCCGUACGCGGCUGGGUGACUUUUCCAUGUAGAACUCCUUCGACGAGUCGAGUUGUUUGGGAAUGCAGCUCUAAAUGGGAGGUAAAUUUCUUCUAAAGCUAAAUAUCGGCCGGAGACCGAUAGCGCACAAGUAGAGUGAUCGAAAGAUGAAAAGCACUUUGAAAAGAGAGUUAAAAAGUACGUGAAAUUGUUGAAAGGGAAGCGUUUGCUGCCAGACUUGUGACGGAGGUUCAACCGGUCUCUGCCCGGUGCACUCCUCUUAACAGGCCAACAUCGGUUUCGAUGGUCAGANCAAGGGUCCUUGGAAUGUGACUCUUCGGAGUGUUAUACGUCCUUGGAUAAAACUAUGA